rnacentral:tRNA from 1 species
UAUGCUUUUGGUUCAGUUGUAGAAUGCUCGCCUGCCACGCGAGAGCCCCGGGUUCGAUUCCUGUCCGAUGUAUAU